UUAGAUUUUUUCUCUUUUAAGUGGCAGCGAUUUCGGGGCGAAGAAGGGAGAGGGUCGUCGGCCGUCGGCGAGGGGAUUGCCCUUUUCAUAUAUUAGGCUCUAGCAGCGCGAAUCGGAGUUUUCACUACUAAAUCAUCCUCAAUCUCGUGCGCAUCAUUGAUUUGCUCUACUAUCUCUUCAUAGCAGUAGCGUCCUCACCCAUUUUAGGGUUCUAUAGUGUCGAAUCAAAGAGGCGGUUCCGGGGAGAGUCUGUAGUGCAAGGCGCGUCCUCCUCUGAUUUAGAGUCCUAGCCUCUCAAAUUCAUGAUCAAUGGCUGGAUCAGCAUCAAGCAAAGAAUUGGUUCAUUCUGCAUUUGAUAACUCUUCCCUAAGCAGAAGUAUUUCACCUGCAGAGAGCAUUGAAGAUAACAAUGGCUGGAUCUACAUCAAGUAAACGAUUUGAUAAUUAUGAAGAUGUUAUCUAUUCUCUAAGGGACAAUUCUUCAUCUGCAGGAAACAGGGAAGAUGUAUGUGUUCAUUUCUUGUGUUUUAUUGCUAUAUUUUUUCUGUGUGCAUUCAUCAGCCAUAUUCUGAUAAUUUGUUUUUUUUUAUAUUGAUCCAUCCAUCAUUUGUUUCUUGUUGUACAUGAAACAAAUAUGGACAUGAGCAACUAUGAAUCAUACAAUAUUGAUGAUUCGUCGUACCCGUCAUCUCUUAUGACUGAAAGCAAGGAGGGUUUUUCCUUGCAACAGAAAAUUUUCAGGUUGGAGAUCAGCUACACAAAAGCUUUCAAGACAUGUGCAUUGGAUGUCUGAAAUAACAUUUUUCUCUAUUCUUUUUUUUUAAUUUGUUGAGGCGUGGAAUGUGGAUUUAAAUAUGUGUUUUGUAACAAUGUCAUUUAUCAAGAGGUUUUGGAGAAAAAGCGUAGAUUAAGAAGACAUUGUUUUCAUUUGAACUAUGUUAUAGUUUGAAAGAGAAAUUUUGCUUGUUGCACUUCUUUUUUGUUUUACUUUUCAAUUUAAUGCACACUGAAUAUUAUUUGUAAUAUGAAAUUGGAUAUACAAACCAGUUGAAAGUGUAAUUUUACUCCCCUACCU